UGGAAACCUGGUCUGCCUUGCCAACAUGGCGAGCAGCGCCAUUUAUACUCGCCAAAGAUCGUGGUGGUGGCAUGGGUUUAAACUAGUCCGCUCGCUUUGGAAAACGCACCCCGCUCUGAAUGAUUCAAAUCUUUGCGGCUGCCAGCCAGUCCGGAACGAGCAUGUUUCACGUAAGUAUCAUAGUUUUCUGGCUUUGCGAUUUCUCUUCUCGUUACUUUCGUCCUUUUUUUCUCCUUGCAGGAACGAGGCCAGACUGUCGAGAGAGAAAGAAAGAGAGGAAACGAGCCUCCGUGUUUUCUCACGAUGGCUCUGCCUUGACUUUGAGAUAUCAAGUGGGGCACACGCGGAUCAACGACUAAGUAGCGAAAACACGGCCAGCCAUGGCAACAUAGCCGGGAACGCAAUCGUGUCCCUCAUGGUUCUCAAAGUCACAGUCACUGUGGGUCACAUAGUCACAUGAGAUCAUGGCGCCAGUACCGAGUUUUUUUACUAAACUUUGUGCGCGCGGCCAGAAUCCACAAGUUAACUGGCCAAAGGGAUCAUGGGCGAAUUUAAAGCUGGGAAGCAGGCUCGAAAGCAGCAAAGCUCAAGAGUUGAAAACUUUACUCUUUUGAAAUGGAUUCGAUUUGUUUUUUUGUGUGUUUGUUUGAUCGAGAAUCAUCCAAGCCAAAAGUCUUCCAGCAGAGGAAUCGGGUUUAGUGCCUUGUGUUCCGCUACUGUGAUCAGCCAUUUAAUGGAUUGUCUU
rnacentral:lncRNA from 1 species